rnacentral:rRNA from 1 species
UUAAGCGAAAAAGAGCGCAGGGAGGAUGCCUUGGCACUGAGAGCCGAAGAAAGACGUGAUAAGCUGCGAAAAGCCAUGGGGAGCUGCAAAUAAGCAUUGAUCCAUGGAUCUCUGAAUGGGGAAACCUGGCUAAGCAAACCUUAGUCGUGCAUACAUGAAUCCAUAGUGUAUGUUCGGGAACCCGGUGAACUGAAACAUCUAAGUAGCCGGAGGAAAAGAAAACAACCGUGAUUUCGAAAGUAGCGGCGAGCGAAAUCGAAAGAGCCCAAACCGGUGUGCGUGCACACCGGGGUUCGGACUGCAGACGUGAUUGGAAGACUUCAGCAGAAUGGUCCUGGGAAGACCAGCCAGAGAGGGUGAAAGCCCCGUAAGCGAAGGAGGAAGCCACACAGCAGGAUCCAGAGUACCACGAGACACGAGAAACCUUGUGGGAAGAAGCGGGGACCACCCCGUAAGGCUAAAUACUCCUCAGUGACCGAUAGAGCAGAGUACUGUGAAGGAAAGGUGAAAAGGACCCCGGGAGGGGAGUGAAAGAGAACCUGAAACCCUGUGUUUACAAGCUGUGGAAGCACCAUACGAGUGCGACCGCGUACUUUUUGUAGAACGGUCCGGCGAGUUACGGCUUCUGGCGAGGUUAAGUCCUAAGGGACGGAGCCGAAGUGAAAGCAAGCGUUAAAAGCGCGUCAAGUCAGAGAACGUAGACCCGAAACCGGGUGAUCUAUCCAUGUCCAGGCUGAAGCCGCUGUAAAAGGUGGUGGAGGGCCGAACGCACAUCCGUUGAAAAGGGUGGCGAUGAGGUGUGGAUAGGGGAGAAAUUCCAAUCGAACCCGGAGAUAGCUGGUUCUCCUCGAAAUAGCUUUAGGGCUAGCCUCGUAUUAACCUGAUGGAGGUAGAGCACUGAAUUUCCUAGGGGGCGUCAAAGUCUACCGAAGAAUAUCAAACUCCGAAUGCCAUAGAGGUGAUGUACGGGAGUCAGACUGCACGAGAUAAGUUGGGCAGUCAAAAGGGAAAGAGCCCAGACCUGCAGCUAAGGUCCCCAAGUGCGUGUUAAGUGGAAAAGGAUGUGGGAUUUCGAAGACAACUAGGAUGUUGGCUCAGAAGCAGCCACACAUUCAAAGAGUGCGUAAUAGCUCACUAGUCGAGAGGUCCUGCGCCGAAAAUGUCCGGGGCUGAAACACGACACCGAAGCUCAGGAAUGUCGAAAGACAUUGGUAGAGGAGCAUUGUUAACGCAGCGAAGCGGUACUGAUAAGGAGCCGUGGAGCGUUAAGAAGAGAGAAUGCCGGAAUGAGUAGCGAGAUGGAGGUGGGAAUCCUCCAGGCCGAAUAUCCAAGGAUUCCGGGGUAAAGCUGAUCUGCCCCGGGUAAGUCGGGGCCUAAGGCGAGGCAGAAAUGCGUAGCCGAUGGAAAACAGGUGGAAAUUCCUGUACUGCGGUAUAACAGAACUGUGGGGACGCAUGUCCAAAGCGGGAGCCGGGAAAGGAAAGACCGGUGCAAGCACAGGAGCUGUAAGGGAGGCAAACCCCCCUUAUAAGGCAAUGGUGUGAUGCGGACUGAAAGAAAGUAGGGAAGUCCGGAGAGGAUGUGCCAAGAAAAGCCGCUAUUGUUUAUACCGUACCCGUACCGUAAACCGACACAGGUGGAUGAGGAGAGAAUCCUAAGGCCGGCGGGAGAAGCAUUGUUAAGGAACUCGGCAAAAUGACCCCGUAACUUCGGGAGAAGGGGUGCCUGGGCAACCAGGCCGCAGAGAAUAGGCUCAAGCAACUGUUUAGCAAAAACACAGGUCUAUGCGAAACCGAAAGGUGAGGUAUAUGGGCUGACGCCUGCCCGGUGCUGGAAGGUUAAGAGGAGAGGUCAGGAAACGAAGCCUUGAAUUUAAGCCCCAGUAAACGGCGGCCGUAACUAUAACGGUCCUAAGGUAGCGAAAUUCCUUGUCGGGUAAGUUCCGACCCGCACGAAAGGCGUAAUGAUUUGAGCGCUGUCUCGACAAUGCACCCGGUGAAAUUGAAGUACCAGUGAAGAUGCUGGUUACCUGCGCCAGGACGGAAAGACCCCAUGGAGCUUUACUCCAGCUUGAUACUGGGAUUCGAUGCUGUAUGUACAGGAUAGGUGGGAGACGCUGAGAUAUGGACGCCAGUCUAUAUGGAGUCGCUGUUGGGAUACCACCCUUGCAGUAUUGGAUUUCUAACCUGCGCCCGUGACCCGGGCGGGGGACAAUGUCUGGCGGGGAGUUUGACUGGGGCGGUCGCCUCCGAAAGGGUAUCGGAGGCGCUCAAAGGUUCCCUCAGAAUGGUUGGAAACCAUUCGAAGAGUGCAAAGGCAGAAGGGAGCUUGACUGCGACACCGACGGGUGGAGCAGGUAGGAAACUAGGACUUAGUGAUCCGGUGGUAUUAAGUGGGAAUGCCAUCGCUCAACGGAUAAAAGCUACCCUGGGGAUAACAGGCUGAUCACUCCCAAGAGUUCACAUCGACGGAGUGGUUUGGCACCUCGAUGUCGGCUCAUCGCAUCCUGGGGCUGUAGCAGGUCCCAAGGGUUGGGCUGUUCGCCCAUUAAAGCGGUACGCGAGCUGGGUUCAGAACGUCGUGAGACAGUUCGGUCCCUAUCCGGCGUGGGCGUAGGAUAUUUGAGAGGAGCUGUCCUUAGUACGAGAGGACCGGGAUGGACGGACCGCUGGUGUAUCUGUUGGCUACCAGAGCCAUGGCAGAGUAGCCAAGUCCGGACGGGAUAAACGCUGAAGGCAUCUAAGCGUGAAGCCCCCCUCAAGAUGAGAUAUCCGAUUCGCAAGAAGAAGGUCCCUUGAAGACGACGAGGUAGAUAGGCUUAGAGUGUAAGUGCAGUAAUGUAUUGAGCGGAUAAGUACUAAUCGACCGGAAGCUUAACUU